rnacentral:rRNA from 1 species
AACGCGAAGAACCUUACCUACUCUUGAAUCCACAGAAUCUGGCAGAGAUGUUGGAGUGCCUUCGGGAACUGUGAGACAGGUGCUGCAUGGCUGUCGUCAGCUCGUGUCGUGAGAUGUUGGGUUAAGUCCCGUAACGAGCGCAACCCUUAUCCUUAGUUACCAUCGAGUAAAGUCGGGGACUUUAAGGAGACUGCCGGUGAUAAACCGGAGGAAGGUGGGGAUGACGUCAAGUCCUCAUGGCCCUUACGAGUAGGGCUACACACGUGCUACAAUGGUCGGUACAAAGAGUUGCGAACCUGCGAAGGGGAGCUAAUCUCAUAAAGCCGAUCGUAGUCCGGAUUGGAGUCUGCAACUCGACUCCAUGAAGCUGGAAUCGCUAGUAAUCGUGGAUCAGAACGCCACGGUGAAUACGUUCCCGGGCCUUGUACACACCGCACUACUA